CCUACGGGUGGCAGCAGUGAGGAAUAUUGGUCAAUGGGAGAGAUCCUGAACCAGCCAAGCCGCGUGAGGGAAGACGGCCCUAUGGGUUGUAAACCUCUUUUGUCGGGGAACAAAACCCGGCACGAGUCCCGCACUGCGUGUAUCCGACGAAAAAGGAUCCGCCAACUCCGUGCCAGCAGCCGCGGUAAUACGGGGGAUGCGAGCGUUAUCCGGAUUUAUUGGGUUUAAAGGGGGCGUAUGCCGGCUGUUAAGUCAGGUGUGAAAGUUUGCGGCUCAACCGGAACAUUGCAGUUGAUACUGGGAGUCUUGAGUGCAGCAGAGGUAGGCGGAAUGCGUGGUGUAGCGGUGAAAUGCUUAGAUAUCACGAAGAACUCCGAUUGCGAAGGCAGCUUACUGGACUGUAACUGACGCUGAGGCACGAAAGUGUGGGGAUCAAACAGGAUUAGAUACCCGAGUAGUC
rnacentral:rRNA from 1 species